UGGCUCAGCGGUAGAGCGCUUGCCUUGCAAGCAUGAGGCCCUGGGUUCAAUUCCUCAG
rnacentral:tRNA from 1 species